rnacentral:rRNA from 1 species
UACAGAGGUGGCAAGCGUUGUUCGGAUUUACUGGGCGUAAAGGGCGCGUAGGCGGUCAGCACAAGUCAGUUGUGAAAUCUCCGGGCUUAACUCGGAAAGGUCAACUGAUACUGUGCGACUAGAGUGCAGAAGGGGCAACUGGAAUUCUCGGUGUAGCGGUGAAAUGCGUAGAUAUCGAGAGGAACACCUGCGGCGAAGGCGGGUUGCUGGGCUGACACUGACGCUGAUGCGCGAAAGCCAGGGGAGCGAACGGG